AUGGUCAAGAGAGCCAGGAUAAGGAUAAGCAGAUGUGGGAGGGCGAAAAGGGACAAGCGUGGAGUUUUUAGCGCUUUGGCGAUCGGGAGAUCGCGGCGGAGGAAGUCCGGAAAAUGGAGAGAGAGGAAGGCGUCGGCGGUGUCGGACGCCGGAGCGUGGGCGAUGAACGUGAUAAGCUCCGUCGGCAUCAUCAUGGCCAACAAGCAGCUCAUGUCCACCGGUGGCUACGCUUUCGGCUUCGCGACAACAUUGACCGGGUUUCACUUUGCCGUAACUGCAUUGGUCGGUCUGGUUUCAAAUGCUGCUGGUUAUUCUGCAUCGAAGGAUGUCCCCUUGUGGGAGCUUCUCUGGUUUUCCAUCGUAGCUAAUAUGUCGAUCACGGGGAUGAAUUUCAGCCUCAUGUUGAACUCCAUAGGCUUCUACCAGAUAUCAAAAUUAAGCAUGAUUCCAGUAGUAUGCAUCAUGGAAUGGAUCCUUCACAAUAAGCACUACUCAGAGAGGUGAAAUGGUCUGUAGUGGUUGUGGUUGUUGGUGUAGGUGUUUGCACAGUGACCGAUGUGAAAGUCAAUGCCAAAGGUUUUAUAUGUGCAUGUUUGGCAGUCCUCUCAACAUCUUUGCAGCAAAUUUCAAUAGGUUCCUUACAGAAGAAGUACUCGAUUGGAUCUUUUGAGCUGUUGAGUAAGACGGCUCCAAUACAAGCUUUAUCUCUCCUUUUCCUUGGUCCGUUCGUUGAUUACUUUCUCAACAGCAAAUCCUUAAGAGACUACAAGAUGUCAUAUGGUGCUCUUCUCUUCAUCUUUCUAUCAUGCACAUUGGCGGUCUUCUGCAACAUGAGCCAGUACCUCUGCAUUGGCCGCUUCUCUGCAGUAUCCUUCCAGGUCCUGGGUCACAUGAAAACAGUAUGCGUCCUCACGUUAGGGUGGUUGCUCUUCGACUCUCAGCUUACCCUCAAGAACAUUAUGGGCAUGGUCAUAGCAGUCGUUGGCAUGGUGAUGUACAGUUGGGCUGUGGAGGCCGAAAAGCGGUCAAGCGCGAAGCCUACGGUAGCUCCUGCCCAGGACAGCAUCACCACAGAAGAGGAAACCGAACUUUUGAAGGAGACUGCUAAGACAAACUUAGCAGCGAAGGAUGUUGAACUUGGAGAGACCAAAGAAGGAUGAGUUGACUUUCUUCUUCGUUCAUAGCUUUCGGGGUCUUCCAUGUGUGAUCCAUCUGCUGCUGCCGUUUACUUUACACCAUUGUUUCGGAUCUCAUUAUCUGUUUAUAAGAUUUCCCAUCUGUAUACAUGUGCAAA